rnacentral:sRNA from 1 species
GUAACAAGGUUUCCGUAGGUGAACCUGCGGAAGGAUCAUUGUUGUUGCCUUUACAAAACACGACCCGUGCACAUGUAAUGCAAAACUGCUGAGGGGGAAUGUUCUCCCCAGCCCUACCGGCCUCAAUCUUCGGUGUCCUUUAGGACAUGUUGGUUGUUGCACCGGAAAACGGCGCGGAUUGUCGCCAAGGAAUAUUAGAUCGCUGAGGUAGAUGACGACUAGCCGCAAGGUGUUGCGUUGUCUGCUGAGGCCAAAGCAAAAAACGAGAUGACUCCCGGCAACGGAUAUCUCGGCUCUCGCAUCGAUGAAGAACGUAGCGAAAUGCGAUACGUGGUGUGAAUUGCAGAAUCCCGUGAACCAUCGAGUCUUUGAACGCAAGUUGCGCCCGAGGGAUCAUCCUGAGGGCACGCCUGCCUCAUGGGCGUAAGAAGCCCAUCCACGCUCAGGUGCAUCAUUCUAGGUGUUCCUGAUGCGGACAUUGGCCCUCCGAGCCGCGAGGUUGCGACGGGCUCAAGUACAAGGGCUAUCGGCUGAGGUCGGGAGCGACGAGUGGUGGGCUACAAGCUAGCGUUCGUCGCCCCUCAACCUCACGUGAUGUAUGCCUUUAUUGACCCUUAACGAGCAUCACGUCGUGGCAGCGUUAUGCUGUGCGGCAUGUUCGGACUGAUACCCCAGGUCAGGCGUGGCCACCCG